GGCUGCUAGAGUCUUAUUAGUAUAUCACUAUAUUACUUUCAUUAAUCAUUGAACUCUUAUAGCUAGAAGUAAUUCUCUUGCCUUAUAUGCACUGUUACUACAUUGAAGUUUUAAUUAAUACCAAGUAGGGUUUUUAAACAACCAGUUGAUUUUUUAGAGAAAUCAUAGAGAGAAAAAGGAAAAUUUUAAAAUACAAAAGACAUAUAUAUAUGAAAAUUCCAGUGUUUUAUUACAGACAGAACAAUUAAAAAAAAUCUUCGGGAAAAAGUGAAAAAGGAAAAACAGAAAAAUACAAAGAGAUUUUUAUCUUCCAAAAGAAAGACCCAAGUUUCCCUUGAGAGUUGCAUGACUAAAGUACAGAACACUUGAGUACAAGUGUAUUUGUGUAGUUACAAAUAAGGCUUUUAAACAUAAACUUUUUAACUGAGAAUUUUCACUUCCUAUGUAAUAUGACAGCCUACUUGGUCACAAUUAAGAUGCGUUUAAUUUGUACAUAAUGUAUAUUAUUUUGUAUUUCCUUAAAGGGGUACUAGCUAUGAGAUAUAUAAAAAAACAA
rnacentral:lncRNA from 1 species